GACGAACGCUGGCGGCGUGCUUAACACAUGCAAGUCGAACGGAAAGGCCCUGCUUUUGUGGGGUGCUCGAGUGGCGAACGGGUGAGUAACACGUGAGUAACCUGCCCUUGACUUUGGGAUAACUUCAGGAAACUGGGGCUAAUACCGGAUAGGAGCUCCUGCUGCAUGGUGGGGGUUGGAAAGUUUCGGCGGUUGGGGAUGGACUCGCGGCUUAUCAGCUUGUUGGUGGGGUAGUGGCUUACCAAGGCUUUGACGGGUAGCCGGCCUGAGAGGGUGACCGGCCACAUUGGGACUGAGAUACGGCCCAGACUCCGACGGGAGGCAGAAGUGGGGAAAAUUGAACAAUGGGCGGAAGAAUGAUGCAGCAACGCCGCGUGCGGGAUGACGGCCUUCGGGUUGUAAACCGCUUUCGCCUGUGACGAAGCGUGAGUGACGGUAAUGGGUAAAGAAGCACCGGCUAACUACGUG
rnacentral:rRNA from 1 species